GGGAUAACCCAUGGGAAUGGCCGGGAUAAACUAUGGGAAUGGCCGGGAUAACCCAUGGGAAUGGUUGGGAUAACCCAUGGGAAUGGCCGGGAUAACCCAUGGGAAUGGCCGGGAUAAACCAUGGGAAUGGCCGGGAUAAACCACGGGAAUGGUUGGGAUAACCCAUGGGAAUGGCCGGGAUAACCCAUGGGAAUGGUUGGGAUAACCCAUGGGAAUGGUUGGGAUAACCCACGGGAAUGGUUGGGAUAAACCAUGGGAAUGGCCGGGAUAACCCAUGGGAAUGGUUGGGAUAACCCAUGGGAACGGCCGGGAUAAACCAUGGGAAUGGUUGGGAUAACCCAUGGGAAUGGCCGGGAUAAACCAUGGGAAUGGUCGGGAUAAACCAUGGGAAUGGCCGGGAUAACCCACGGGAAUGGCCGGGAUAACCCAUGGGAAUGGCCGGGAUAAACCAUGGGAAUGGCCGGGAUAACCCAUUCCACUGGGAAAUUCCCAGUUUUCUCACCAUCCCAACUGGAAAUUCCCACUUUUCUUGCCUUCCCACCUGAAAAUUCCCAGUUUCUUUUCCUCUCCACUGGAAAACUCCCCAGUUUCUCUCCACCCCCCCUGGAAUUCCCCAUUUUCUUCCCAUCCCGCCUAGAAAUUCCCAGUUUUCUUCCCAUUUCACCUCGAAAUUCCCCAUUUUCUUGCCAUCCCACCGGGAAAUUCCUGCUUUCUUUCCCAUCCCACUGAGAAAUUCCCAUUUUCUCACUCUCCCAGCUGGAAAUUCCCAGUUUCUCACCAUCCCACCAGGAAAUCCCUGCUCUUCUCACCAUCCUAACUGGAAAUUCCCAGUUUCUCACCAUCCUAACUGGUAACUCCCCGUUUUCUCGCCAUCCCACCAGGAAAUUCCCAGUUUCUCACCAUCCCACCAGGAAAUCCCCGCUCUCCUCACCAUCCUAACUGGAAAUUCCCAGUUUCUCACCAUCCUAACUGGUAACUCCCCGUUUUCUCACCAUCCCACCAGGAAAUUCCCGUUUUUCUCGCCAUCCCACCAGGAAAUUCCCACUUUUCUCACCAUCCCGCAGGGAAAUUCCCGUUUUUCUCGCCAUCCCACUGGGAAAUUCCCGCUUUUCUCACCAUCCCACAGGGAAUUUCCCGCUUUUCUCGCCAUUCUACGUGGAAAUUCCCGCUUUUCUUGCCAUCCCACUGGAAAAUUCCCACUUUUCUCGCCAUCCCACCAGGAAAUCCCCGCUCUCCUCACCAUCCUAACUGGAAAUUCCCGCUUUUCUCGCCAUCCCACAGGGAAAUUCCUGCUUUUCUCGCCAUCCCAACUGGAAAUUCCCAGUUUCUCACCAUCCCACCAGGAAAUCCCCGCUCUCCUCACCAUCCUGCAGGGAAAUUCCCGCUUUUCUUGCCAUCCCACCAGGAAAUUCCCGCUUUUCUCACCAUCCCACCGGGAAAUUCCCGCUUUUCUCGCCAUCCCACCAGGAAAUUCCCACUUUUCUCGCCAUCCCACCAGGAAAUCCCCGCUUUUCUUGCCAUCCCACUGGGAAAUUCCCAGUUUCUCACCAUCCCACCUAGAAACUCCCCGUUUUCUCACCAUCCUAACUGGAAAUUCCCACUUUUCUCGCCAUCCCACCAGGAAAUCCCCGCUUUUCUCACCAUCCUAACUGGAAAUUCCCAGUUUCUCACCAUCCCAC
rnacentral:lncRNA from 13 species